GUUAGGCGAACGACGUUGUACGUACGGACGAGGUUAUGUAUUUCGUUUAGGCGUAGCAAAGAUGCAAGAAAAUCGUACGUCAUAAUUAUCAAGGACAGUUUAUUCAUAUUUGCCGCCUUUGGAUUCACACACCAGCGAGAGGAAACGGAGAGAUUUUAAAUAAACAUUUCGCAACAACUGGCAACAGGAGUUUAUCGCGGAAAGAAUUGGGCGAAAGGUUAGAAGGUGGCGAAUUGAAAAAA